GAAGUAUGCGGCAGAAGUUUGAACUACACCCACAAAACAUUUGAAAACUAUUGCGAACUCUUUAAUGAAGAUUGUACCGGAAAAGAUCAAUGGUUGAUUGCGUAUCGGGGAAAAUGUCAAGGGGACUUGAAGACCUACCCAACAAAACAUGCUGAAUUGGUGACAAGAGCUGAAAUGUAUAUCCAUAAUUUUGAAGAGAUUAACCCUCCGAAACACAAAAGGCCACAUGGAGGUUAAUUACAACAUUGUACAGUGAGCAUUUACAGAUACAUAUGCUGGAACAAGUUUUUUGAAGCACGUACCAACAUACCAUAGUAUCAUAAAAUAAAAAUAAAAUAAUUGGCACUAUGGAAAUAUUUUGCGUCUGUUUCUAAAAAAAAAAAGAAAAUAAAUUACUGCUCUUUGUAAGAAUGUGACAUCUAAAGUCUAUCAUCUAUCUUAGUAUCGUUAGCUUUAAAGAUUUUUCGUCGAGUUCAUUGAUAUAAAUAGUUUGUCUGCGAAAUUUUUACGUUGAUAAAAUUAAAUUAAUAAUAGGAUUCGGAGAAAAUUAAAUUAAGAAAUAAAAUAAAUUAAUAGUUCAUA